AUGACGUAUGCCACCCUCUACAGGACCAGUGACUCUGUGUACAAUGUAAUACAGACGAGGGGUAGUGGAACUGAAGAUGACUACGAAAACCGAAACUUGAGUAAACAUCAGCCCAAGUCGGAGCCUAGAAGUUAGCUAGACACAACAUGCUGUGGUGCCCAUGUUGGAGAAACAGAUUCUAAUCUGGCCUGAGUCCAUGUCUCGUGCGCUUUUCUGCACUGCGUGUGUUUCGUAUCUCUACUUUUGCUAACAAGAAAAUGGCAAAAGUUCAAAUAAUGAAUCAAAUCAAAAUGG